rnacentral:rRNA from 1 species
GACGAACGCUGGCGGCGUGGCUUAACACAUGCAAUCGAACGAAGAGCGAUGGAAGCUUGCUUCUAUCAAUCUUAGUGGCGAACGGGUGAGUAACGCGUAAUCAACCUGCCCUUCAGAGGGGGACAACAGUUGGAAACGACUGCUAAUACCGCAUACGAUCUAAUCUCGGCAUCGAGGAUGGAUGAAAGGUGGCCUCUAUUUAUAAGCUAUCACUGAAGGAGGGGAUUGCGUUGAUUAGCUAGUUGGAGGGGUAACGGCCCACCAAGGCGAUGAUCAGUAGCCGGUCUGAGAGGAUGAACGGCCACAUUGGGACUGAGACACGGCCCAGACUCCUACGGGAGGCAGCAGUGGGGAAUCUUCCGCAAUGGACGAAAGUCUGACGGAGCAAACGCCCGCGUGAAGUGAUGGACGGGCCUUUCGGGGUGUAAAGCUUCUGGC